AUUGAACGCUGGCGGCAGGCCUUACACAUGCAAGUCGAACGGCAGCACGGUAACAACUCGGGUGGAGAGGGGGGAAGGGGCGAGUAGGACAGCGGAACGUGGGAAAUCGCGGGUGAUAGGGGAGCGAAAGAGGUGCUAAUACGGCAUAAGAUCUACGGAUGUAAGCAGGAGAGCGGAAGGCCUUGGGCGAAUGCAGGAGUCGAUGGCGGAUUAGGGAGUUGGUGGGGUAAAGGCGCACCAAGCCAACGAUCCGUAGCUGGUCUGAGAGGACGACCAGCCACACUGGAACUGAGACACGGCCCAGACUCCUACGGGAGGCAGCAGUGGGGAAUUUUGGACAAUGGGCGCAAGCCUGAUCCAGCCAUGCCGCGUGCAGGAUGAAGGCCUUCGGGUUGUAAACUGCUUUUGUUCGGAACGAAACGGCCUUGUCUAAUACCGAGCGGUACUGACGGUACCGAAAGAAUAAGCACCGGCUAACUACGUG
rnacentral:rRNA from 1 species